UCAAAUGAAACCAUGUUUUCUAAAAUUAAAGGGUCUGAUUGAUAUUGGUCCUUCUUUUGACAGAUAUAAUAUGUAUACUGACUUGUUAUUUUCUUCUCUAGCAAGCACUACGGCGUCAACUUUGUGGUGGCCGACGCGACGGCCAUCGAGCAUGACUUCUUCGCCAAGAACAACCUCAGCGUGGACAUCACGCCGUAGUACAUCAUGAUGGAGCUUGGCUAGAUGUACACAUAUUUUUUUACAACCUCUGCGUGCAUAUUUUUUUUACAAUGCACCAAAGUUUCUUGUUUCUGUUGUGAAAGUAAUGUAAAUGGUGUUACAUAGUUCUCAAUAAAAAUGCAAAUAACUUGUGAAUUUGUCUUCAUGUUGUAUAAGUCUCGACAAAGUUAAUUUGCAUAAGCCUCGACCUCCUCCUGCAAUCUCUCUUUCUCCCCUUCUUCUUUGAAUUUCCCGGUGUUGUAUAAGUCUGCAAGAUUCGGAUUUUAAGAGUACUUGCUCCCUGUACUAGUUACUUCUACUAUUUAUUUUUAGCUGUUUAGUACUACUCUGUAGAUCUGUGAUACUAGUCUAGUCGCUUGUAUAAUUUUGUUUAAUGGUGUAACCUGAAACAUUGAGUAGUACCCUGUUCGCAUAUGUGUGAUUAUGUGUGUUCUGUAGUCUCUAGCUCCAGUACAUGUGAACUAUAUGUUGUGGUGUAAAUCAUUUUCAUUCUAUCUUAUAAACGUGUUUCUUCAAUAGCUAUUUUUGUUCAAGUCUUGUUGUCAUUGAUGUUAGCAUUUAGUUUGUCUCAAGUAAAAAAAAUACUAAAAAUACAGUGAAGAUAAUCUGAACCUCCCUAUGUAAAAUUUAGUUUGUCUAUAAUACUACUAGGAGAUGGGUGAGGGACUGAAAGGAUGAUAUGCUUCCAUGAAUUUAUUUGUAAGAAUUUUUUCUUGGCUCUGUACAAAUCAGCACAAAUAUGUGAGCCUCGGUUCUGAAAACUAAAGAAUUCAUAUAUUGCUAGAUAGACUAUGAUUUAGGAUAUGCUAAACAGAAAGCUUUAUAAGAUGGAACUAUCAAUUCAUCAUGACUUCACUUUGUCCUUUAAUUUAAUUUAAUUUAAUAUGGUUAGAACUACCAUGGUUUUUUAAGUAGUUGGCGCAUUAAGAAACAGUAUGCUGGAUGUUUGGCCUUGCAUUCGUCCUUCCAUGAAUUCAUGCUUGUACAUUGCUAGUUAUUGAUUUUUUUGCAAGUCUUCUUCUUCCUCGAUCUUGUGCAGCAGCAACAAUUCAAGGUCAUGGUCAUGGAGCAGCAGCCAUAUAUUUUUCUUCUUAUUCCUCCCUGAGAUGACAUGAGAUGAGGUUUGUUUUCCUCAAGGUCAAGGUGCAGCAGCUCGAUUUGAUUUGAUGUGAUUGGAUUCAGUUUCCUCAUGCUUCUCUGUUUGCAUUGCAGGCUCUGUUGGUCGGUCUUCAAUUCUUCAUGCUGUUGCUGCUACUGCUACAUGAGGACCCUCUUCAAUUCUGCAUCCAUUGCGGCCGCCGCAGCUUCCACCUCUACCCGGCCGCAUUCGCAAGUGUAAGCUCCCCCUCCCUCCGUCCUAGAUCUCUAGGUCUGUUGCUGUCAUGCGCCAUGUUCUUGAUGUUGCGCGACCUAAUGUGGAUGCCACGAACGGCGCUGCUCCUGUGUGCAGAUUUGAUUCACCGCAUUAGUAUGCGGUUGUUGUCUCGUCGUGGUUGCUCAAACUGAGAUGUACCCAGUUGAUUCGUCAUCUCGGGUCAUAAAUUUUUCUGCAUUCCCUGUUGCUGUAGCUUGUUGGAUGCAUAGUUUGAUCUCCCAAUGGGAAUUAUUAGUGAAUGGUGAUGUCUGUGGUCACGAGAAUGGUGAUGUAGUAGCUGGUAUGCUUGAUGCGUGUAAGUCCAUCUCUUUACUGUUUUGCUAGAACCAUAAAUCCUGAUGCGCAUGAUGAUCAUGGUCUGAUUUGUUAGAUCUAUUCUGCUGGUGCUUAAAAUUUGACAUGCCUGGAUUCUAAAACAAAUUUUACAGCAUUCUAUGUUGUAGCCAAACACUUGCUCUGUAUUUUAUAUUAAAACCAUGGUAUUGUGUACCUGCCAACUACGAGUAAAUUACUGAAGUUUUUAAUACUUUGGUUUUUUUGAUACUUUUUUUACAGAAAGGCAAUGGUCUGUAGUGAACUGAAGAUAGGAAAAAUGAUAUGUAAAUGCACUUUGAUCUGCUCAGUAGGAGCAAGAUGGAGUCGCUGGAGCAGAGCAGUCGAGUCUGCAUUUUGUUCUUCUGUCAGACAGACAUCCACAUGUUGUACCGAUUCUUAGUUCAGAGAUAGGAAUGUAUAAAUGGUUGCCGAUCUCUCCAUGCAUGGAACAGUAGCUUUUUAUGUAGGAUCCUUUCCGUAUAGAUGAGUCACAACAUUGAUUUGUUGAUCCAUUUGGAAACUAAAAGAAAGUACAGAGAGGACGAACUUGUUGGUAGAACUUCAUCAUAUUCAGCAGACGGAGUCCACGGGUGUAGCAUUUUGUCUAGUACACCCAACACCACCUGAGGAUCCAAUUCACUGUUAGAAAGUUAGAAAUUGAUAUUACAGGUUCCUUAUAGUGCAAACCAAAGCUGCUACUCCAACAACCAUCAAAUGAAACCAUGUUUUCUAAAAUUAAAGGGUCUGAUUGAUAUUGGUCCUUCUUUUGACAGAUAUAAUAUGUAUACUGACUUGUUAUUUUCUUCUCUAGCAAGCACUACGGCGUCAACUUUGUGGUGGCCGACGCGACGGCCAUCGAGCAUGACUUCUUCCCCAAGAACAACCUCAGCGUGGACAUCACGCCGUAGUACAUCAUGAUGGAGCUUGGCUAGAUGUACACAUAUUUUUUUACAACCUCUGCGUGCAUAUUUUUUUUACAAUGCACCAAAGUUUCUUGUUUCUGUUGUGAAAGUAAUGUAAAUGGUGUUACAUAGUUCUCAAUAAAAAUGCAAAUAACUUGUGAAUUUGUCUUCAUGUUGUAUAAGUCUCGACAAAGUUAAUUUGCAUAAUCCUUGACCUCCUCCUGCAAUCUCUCUUUCUCCCUUUCUUCUUUGAAUUUCCCGGUGUUGUAUAAGUCUGCAAGAUUCAGAUUUUAAGAGUACUUGCUCCCUGUACUAGUUACUUCUACUAUUUAUUUUUAGCUGUUUAGUACUACUCUGUAGAUCUGUGAUACUAGUCUAGUCGCUUGUAUAAUUUUGUUUAAUGGUGUAACCUGAAACAUUGAGUAGUACCCUGUUCGCAUAUGUGUGAUUAUGUGUGUUCUGUAGUCUCUAGCUCCAGUACAUGUGAACUAUAUGUUGUGGUGUAAAUCAUUUUCAUUCUAUCUUAUAAACGUGUUUCUUCAAUAGCUAUUUUUGUUCAAGUCUUGUUGUCAUUGAUGUUAGCAUUUAGUUUGUCUCAAGUAAAAAAAAUACUAAAAAUACAGUGAAGAUAAUCUGAACCUCCCUAUGUAAAAUUUAGUUUGUCUAUAAUACUACUAGGAGAUGGGUGAGGGACUGAAAGGAUGAUAUGCUUCCAUGAAUUUAUUUGUAAGAAUUUUUUCUUGGCUCUGUACAAAUCAGCACAAAUAUGUGAGCCUCGGUUCUGAAAACUAAAGAAUUCAUAUAUUGCUAGAUAGACUAUGAUUUAGGAUAUGCUAAACAGAAAGCUUUAUAAGAUGGAACUAUCAAUUCAUCAUGACUUCACUUUGUCCUUUAAUUUAAUUUAAUUUAAUAUGGUUAGAACUACCAUGGUUUUUUAAGUAGUUGGCGCAUUAAGAAACAGUAUGCUGGAUGUUUGGCCUUGCAUUCGUCCUUCCAUGAAUUCAUGCUUGUACAUUGCUAGUUAUUGAUUUUUUUGCAAGUCUUCUUCUUCCUCGAUCUUGUGCAGCAGCAACAAUUCAAGGUCAUGGUCAUGGAGCAGCAGCCAUAUAUUUUUCUUCUUAUUCCUCCCUGAGAUGACAUGAGA
rnacentral:lncRNA from 1 species